rnacentral:lncRNA from 1 species
UCUCUUGCUCGUUGACUCUCUUAAGCUUCUCUUAUGGCGAUGGCUUCACUAACAACUUCUUCUAUAGCUCUCCUCAACAAGUCUUUAUUACCUAACCGCUCUUCUUCCCUCUCCUCCUCUACCUCUCACUCUCGUCUUUACCGAUUCUCUUCUCCUCCUUCUUCUUUUCGUAUCUCCUCCUCUACCUCUCUCUACCGAUUCUCUUCUCCUCCUUCCUCUGUUCGUUCUCGUUUCACAUCUGCCUCCAUACGCGCCGUUGCUCUUGAACCGG